AGUCCCUGGCAGCAGCCAAUGGCAAGGUUGUGCCAGCCAGCAGGAUGCUGCGGAGCUGCUGAAGGGCGGGGCUGGAGUCUGAAAGGCGGCCUGUUGGACUACGAAUGCCAGUGCGGAGCUAAGAAGAUCAAAGAGGAGCUGUUGUUCUUGAACCUGCCAAAUGUGCUGAUCCUCCAGCUGAAGUGGUUUACGUUCACUCCAUCGUUCACCGUGGAGAAGAAGAACAGCCCCAUU